GUGGGUGCUGUGCAUUUGAUGAAAUAGUCAGGCGGAGCAGAGAAGCUACAUGUGCAUGCUUUGAGAGUGAGAUAACAGACAUGUGGAAAUGACACUUGUUCUCAUUUUGAACCAUUCAAGGGGGAUCAAUCCUGAGGAGAGAAACAACCACUAUCUCUACUUUCCUGAGGACAGAACGCAAAAGGCAUGGAUCACUGAGGAAGGCGGGCUUUAGGACACACAGCUGCUGCUGCUGGCCGGCCCCAAACACCGUCCAGAAACUAUUCAGGGAAAGGGUGAGCAGAGGGACCUGGUGCCAGUGUACAGCUGCUCCACCCUUGCAGCGCCUCCCUGUGGUAAUACAGGGUAACUGUAGGGGCACUUGGCGCAGCCUCAGCCCACAUGAGAGAGAAGACACCUUGGAAGACCGAGAAUCAACGUUACAGCACUGCGUCCAGGGUUUCCACGACAACAAGGAAGAGAUGCUCCCUCCGACAAGGACGACCGAAGACAGGACAAGACGGAGAGCAUGUGGUGUUUGAGUCUGCACAGGCCAUAUUUGUUCAGACUACAAAGUGGCAUGAAGUGGUGUUUGGCUAAAAACUCACCUGUGCCUUUGAAGCUGUCACCAUGUGCUUCCUCUGCUGUUCGUGACGCCCCACACACACAACACUGAGGAGACUGUAUGACAAACUAAAAGAAGAGUGAAAAAGUGUUUUCCUUUUAUUUGAAACUUUAUCUGAGCUUGAAUUCAAUAAAAUGGAUCAAAAUGUAUGUAACAUGA